AGCAGCCGCGGUAAUACGUAGGUGGCAAGCGUUAUCCGGAUUUAUUGGGCGUAAAGAGCGCGCAGGUGGUUAAUUAAGUCUGAUGUGAAAGCCUUCGGCUUAACCGGAGUAGUGCAUUGGAAACUGGUUGACUUGAGUGCAGAAGAGGAGAGUGGAACUCCAUGUGUAGCGGUGAAAUGCGUAGAUAUAUGGAAGAACACCAGUGGCGAAAGCGGCUCUCUGGUCUGUAACUGACGCUGAGGUUCGAAAGCGUGGGUAGCA
rnacentral:rRNA from 1 species